AAGAAGAUGAAUCAGACAAAUGGAGCUAGAUGGUGCAAUAUCCCAGGUUGCUGCUCCAAUCUACAUGGCCGAAUUGAUUAAGGGCUCUUCAAUCACCACCACCACCACGGUUAGCAUUCCCUUGCUUGUGACCCACAAUCACAGUCAAUCAGUCACUGCAAGUAUUAAAGCAGUAAGAACACGCACACUCAUCCACAUCUGUUUCUGGCGAACAUAUGUGCCAGCUGCAUGCAAAUUGGGAUGAGUUGUUCUUUCAGUAUACGAAAAUAUUUGCAACACAAAGAAUCUCUGUUUAUUACACUAUUUUCUCAAGCAAACAUCGCCUGGCUUUCAUAGUGGUCAUAUUGAGAUAAUUGAAACUUGGCGAUAGAAGUAAAUGAAGCAUGAUCACACACACACACACACACAAAGCUACUUUCAUUGGGAACUUAGAUGAUUGAUUAGGAGAAAGAAAAGUAAAGAACAUCAAACAAGUCAAAAAAUUUACAAAGGAAAACACAGAGAAUUUGCUACUACCUUGAUUAAGAACCUGAACAGUGCAGUAGUGAUCAACAUGCAAAGAAAAAAAUGCUUCAUGGGCCGCUGCCAAGAUCACACCUUCUUCUUCCACACUGUCCGUCAGCUCAGCACCGACAGCCAACAGGUAGC
rnacentral:lncRNA from 1 species